rnacentral:lncRNA from 1 species
AUCGGUACGGGUACGGUACGUCCGGUACCGACCGGUACAACAUACCAUGAUUCCUAACCGUAUUAAGCACUCUUAUUUUCUCCUAUUCGCAUGCAUCCUUGACCUAAUGCUUUCACAAUGCAAAUUAGGUUAUCGUUUUGCUUCUACAUGCGCUGUAACCCCAUACAAUUAGAUCCUGAUCCUAUCAGUCCCACUUGCGUCAAUGUGUGCGCAUCAUGUAAAGACAAGGGCAUGGAAGGUAGAAUUGUCCUGAAUGCUUGUGGACCAGCAUGACUGCACCCUUUUUUCGUGUGAACGGGGAUGGGGGCUUGAAAGCCCUCUCUUCCGCUCUCUCAGCCUCUCUCCCCCC